AAUGAGAGGAGACUGAUUUACCAUGGCCUUCAGUAGAAAGGAUAAAAAGAUAAGUUUUGGAAUUCAACAGAAUUGUGUUUAACCCUGUCUUUGCCACUAAUUUACUAUAACGCAGAUUGUUUUAUCUGUAAAAUGGGUAUAUUAAAAUCUACCUCACAAGACUAAACGGAGAAUAUCAAGAAAAUAUAGUGUCUAGUUUAUAGUAUGUACCCCCAAAUGGUUCUCAUUCCUGCCGUAUUUCCCUUGACAAAAUGAAUUCUGCCACACCUUCUCCCUAAACUACCUUUUAAGAUGUUAAUUUUACUGUGCUAAGGAGUCUUCUAACCUGCCAGCCAGUGAAGGGGGAAAAGCCCUAAAGAGACCUAACAUCUCUCUACCAGAGAUGGGCUUUCUAUAAGAGAAUGAAGGGCCCAGGGCUCUGUGCUGGGCUGCUGGCCCAGCUCACUAGCUUCUCUCUGCUUUACUUCCACCAUUACUCAAAUAAACUCAUCAGCCCAAGAAAGCAAAUUUACAACAUGUCUGCUAUCCACUGUGAGACCAUCUUGGCUUCUCUCACCCUUUUCAAACAAGCUCCUACCACAAAACCUAUAAAAACAAUGAACUUUUAUAUAUAACUAUACACUUACAGCCACUAAGUCACGGUGUGCCAAGCAGGAAGACAGGUAUCUCUGUCUUGAACGUUCCACUGCUAACUCCUACUGUAAGUCAGUAUAACCUAGUAUUUGGCCACUGAUGAGGUCUCUAUCUGAUGAGCUCCUCCCUAUCAGAAACUGCUAUCUUCAAGGUAUGCAGUCAGCAUUCCUUGAGAGCCAUCAGAAGUAACCCUCUGUGAGACAAAGUGAUGCUGUAAUGUUGCAGGAUAUGCAGGUUUAGACAUGAGAGAUUUUCUCAGCUCCAUGUUUCCAGAGAAUAACUCUGUGGCCAACUUAAUUUGCUCACAUACAGUCUGUUCUCUCCUUGUUUAGUUUUUCCUCUGAGCAUCUUACUAGAGGGUCUGGAAUAUGCAUGGAUGAGAUGCCCUCUUUCCUGACCAUACUUAAUAGUAGGUACUAUAAGAGCAGAGGUAAGAAAUAUAAUUGGAGGUAAGGGGUGGAGGAAGACAUGUGCUUCUAAACUGGUAAGAAAAGUCAGAUGUAAACAAAGAACAGGUGAUAACUACAGCUACAAGAUCAAUGGUUACUUCCUAUACGUCUAAAGUGGGGAUCCACUUAUCUGAAAUGGCUUGGCCUCCAAGUCUUCUCAGUGCCUUCCACCUACAUUUAGCCCCCAAAUCCCCUCAGGAGCCAUUUCUUCCCCGUCCAUUUCCCCCUGCUACCUGGCUAUUCCACCAUCAUUCCAUGAAAAAUUAAUAUAUAUGAGUCAUUAUAACUCUUAUAUUGUAGCAUUUCUCUGUUCCCCUGUCACGAAUAAUCAUAAUUUUAUACAUGUUCUUUCAUAAUUACUUCAACCAACAAUUACUCUCAGAUAUAAUGAACUAUGUAGAGCCUUGAAGCUAUAGCAAUAUUUUGCCUAAAUUAGUGAUGUUGCCAGUAUUUAUUGAGCACUUAUUAUGGGCUGACAAUAUACAAAACUUUACACAUUUCUCAUUUAACCUUGACAACUUUUUGAAAUGGUCUGUACUAUUAUCUUUACUGUAUAGGUGAGGACUCUGGCUAGAAAAGGUUAGGUAACUUACUAACAGAUGGCACAGUCAGAAUAAUAGCUGAGGUCUAAGACUACAGCACCUGUUCUCUUAACUCUCAUAUCCACUGCUUUUAAGCACUUGCGGCAACAGAUAACAUAAAACAUUAGUGUCUGUUUUCACUUCCUCACAUCCCAUUCUCUCCUUUACUGACUUCAAUCAGGCUUCCCACUAAAAUUGUUCUUAUCAAGGUAAAUGAAAACAUUGUCACUCACAAAAUCAAUAUCCAGUGCACAGUCUUCAGUUUAUUCAACCUCUCCCAGCAUUUGGCAGAAUCAAUUACAACUUCCCUGAAUCAAUCAUUGUCUCUGUUUGGUUACCAAGACCCCCCUGGUUUUUCUCCUACUUCACUUAUCUAUCCUUCUAGGUCUCCUUUGCUGGGCCCUUCUCUGCUUUCUGAUAUUUUAAAUUUGAGUGCCCCCAAGUUUGUCAUUAGACUUCUUUUUUAUACUCACUCCCAAUGCUAGCCAUCCAGUAUCAAGACUCAAAUGCCAUCUGUAGAUCAAAGGCUACCACAUGUAGAUCUCCAGUCUCAAUCUGUGCUCUAAGCUCCAGACUCAUAUCCAGCUGCAUACCACAUCUAAGCAUCUCUACUUGAUUGUUUAAUAAUAGGCUUCUGAUAUUUAAAAUGCUCAAAACUAAACUCUUGGUUUCCUCUCCUGAAUCUGCUCUACUCCCAGUAUGCACCAUUUAAAUAAAUGGCACAAUCAUUAACCUAGUUGCUGUGGCCAAAAACCUGGGAGUCAUUCUUGACUCUCCUUUUUAUCUUACACCCAUGCCUUAUUCAUUAUCAAAUCCUGUCAACUCUGUCUUCAAAAUGUACCCUCAGUCUUUUUUCCAUCUCCACCCUCAUCUCCCUAAUCUAUACCACUAUCAUUUCUCACAUGGAUUUCUGCAACCACUUCUUCACUGGUUUCUUUGUUUCCAUUCUUGCCUUGCUGCCACCCUUCCUCCACACAGCAGCCAGCCAUGUUUUUAAAACAAAAUUCAGACACCAACACUCCUUGCUCAGCUCCCUUCAGCAGCUCCCCUUUCACUUGGAAUUUGCUCCUUUCACUGCAGCCAGAAUUCCAUCUGCUCAAGUGUCUCCUUGGAGGAGGAGAUUUCUCUGACAUCCUGUAUAGAACAGCAUCCUCUAUUCCUCCAUUUAUCUCUCCCUCUUAUUAGACUUCCAAAAAAUUUAUAGAACUUAUCUCUGCUUAAACAUAUACUAAAUAUUAUAUAUUAAAUGUAUAUAUGAAAUAUUUUAUAUUUGUUUAUUUCUUUACUUUUGCUCUUCUACCCAACUAGAAUGUAAGCUCCGUAAGGCAGGGUCCUUGUCUUUUCUGUCCUUGGUUGAAUCUCCAGCACCAGAGCAGGACUUGCCACAUAAUAUGUACACAUUAAAUGAAUGUUAUAUGUAAUAUGUAUUUAUUAAAUGAAUGUAUUUGAAGUCUUAUCUUCACUACUUUUUUUUUUUUUUGAGACAGAGUCUCGCUGACGCCCAGGCUGGAGUGCAGUGGCGCGAUCUCGGCUCACUGCAGGCUCCGCCUCCCGGGUUCACACCAUUCUCCUGCCUCAGCCUCCCGAGCAGCUGGGACUACAGGCGCCUACCACCUUGCCCGGCUAAUUUUUUGUAUUUUUAGUAGAGACGGGGUUUCACUGUGUUAGCCAGGAUGGUCUCGAUCUCCUGACCUCCUGAUCCGCCCGCCUCAGCCUCCCAAAGUGCUGGGAUUACAGGCGUGAGCCACCGCACCCGGCCUCUUCACUACUUCUUAGUCCUAUAACCUUACACAAAUUUCUUACUCUCCCUACAUUAUAAAUUUCUCAAUUAUAACUUGUUUUUUAAAAAUAAACAACCCUCCCUUAUUUUUCUUUCUGAUGCUUUAUAGGUACUUACUAAUAUAUUCAGCCUAUCCUGUGUAUGACUUUGAUACAACAAUUCCAGAGACUGGUCAAUGUUGUGGGUUGAAAUGUGUCACUCCAAAAUUCACAUGUUGAAGUCCUUGCCCCCAGUACCUCAGAAUGUGACCUUAUUUGGAAAUAGAAUUGUUGCAGAUGUUAUUAGUUAAGAUGAGGUCACACUGGAAUAAGGUGGGCCACUACUUCAAUCUAGUUCAAUAUGGCUGAUGUUCUCAUAAGAACACGAAAUUUGAGCACAGAGGUGCACACAGGGAGAAUGUUUUGUGGAGAUGGGAGUUAUGGUGCCACAAACCAAGAAACUACCAGAAGGCAGAGAAGAGGCCUAGACCAGCUUGAUGCAAUGAAUCUUUUGGCUUCAGAGCUACAUGUUGAAGAUGAAGGAGCCAUAGUGUGGAAAAGCCAAAGUUCCUGAAUCACUGACCGGGGGAGAGUUGCCCAUUAGCCAAGAAGACCGGCUUUAGACUUUCUGAGACAGUAAAUAAGCUUCUAAUUGUUUAAACCUUUAUUUAUUUUGACUUUUGAUUGUAACAGCUACUGGUAUUAUUAUAACUGACAGGUUAUUGUUAGUUUUUACAGUACCAAAUUGAGGAGAAGUGUCAGCCCUUGUCAUAUGCCUGAAAUAAAUUCACUGUAGAUUGGCUGACCAUGCUGGGUCUGGGGGCAUGAGUGCACACAGGAAAAGUUGUCUGGUGAAUUUGAGCAUUAUUUUAGUACUGUUGAACAGUCACUGGACAGUUUGAGUGUAGUAUGCAGCCUCUAAUUACCUUCCCCAACUUUGGGGAAGCAGAGUCCUUGUUUUGCCCUCCAGUCCCUUCAGGAAGGGCCAAAUGAACAGCAGGCAAUCAAACCGUGCACAGCAGUAGGGUGUGGGAACAGCGAAGGCAGCUCUGUGCCUGCUGCUCCACCCUUCUCUCCUACCUUCCUUUGUGGAGGACACCAUACCCUGUCCUCUUCCCUUUUGAUAAAAGGGAAAGUAAUACAAAUUAAAGAUGUGACCCAAUCACAUUAUUUUGUCCUUGCUUAGUGCUUUUUAAAGCAGUAUCCUACACUCUAAAUGUGGAAGGCAGAGACAGCUUUUAGCUCUCCGGGUGAAUAAUGCCAAAGUAUUUGAUUGCUAUUGUCUCUCUUUCAGAGGGUUUGCUGUCAGAAGGAAAAGCUCUGAGUCACUCUUUAGAAAAGGUGAACGGAGGAUAUGCAACCACAAGCCAAAGGUGACAGAUCGGAAAGGGACCAAUCACUAGGAGCAGGGUUUCUCAGGUUUGUGAGCCCCUUCCCUCAUGCAAUUGUGUCAAAUUGGGCCAAAAAUGCGUUCUGUAUCUUUCUCACAGAGGAGUGCUGUAAAACCCAAUGGGCAUGUAAAGUGAAGUGCAGUCAUAUCUUAUAAAAAUAGCUAUUGAUUCCUGAGUGUUUACUGUGAAGCCUUCUUACAUAGCUUGUUUAAUCUUCUUGACAAGCUUAAUACAUAAGUAUUAUUAUUGGCCCACUUGAGAGCUAUUGAAACUGAGGCUCAGAGGUUAAGCAAAGCAGUGUCCCCAGGAUCACACAGGUAGUGAACAACGGAGCUGGGACUCUAACUAGGAAUUGAGGGAUGCCAAAAGACUACAUCUCUCACCACCAUGCCCUUCAAGGACUUCAAACAAAUGAAAAGCAUUAGCAAGGUAAAUGGCUCUUCUGCUGGAGAAUCUAGAAUGUCCAAAGCCAAAAUGUCUACCCUUGCAUAGAAAGAACAUCCUACAAGGCUGCCUGUGUUCAGCAUAUUAAGUGCCUAAAAGAAUAAUGAAACAGAUAAGAAAAGGGAAGAACAAAGGCCAUUGUCCCGGGCCCUGGAGACUAGCCUGCCUGAACAUGAUUCACAGUCAUUCAUGGACUCAGACCUCAUAGAUUUUGAACAUCAGAUCAUUGCAGAUAGAAAUGUGAACUUCCAGAUAGCAACCAUAUCUUCUUGCUGAAAAUAGCUUCCCUCCCCCCAGCACAAAGUCAUAAAGAAAGAAAAAAGAAUCUUAAUUUCCUUCUGCUUCCUGUUUGCCAGACUGUUCCUUUUUUCCUUCAACCUCACGGUCCCAUUGUUUCUCUCAUUUCUUCUUAGUAUGCUCUGUUUAAACCAGAUGGAGCAGUAGCAUUUUGAAGCGAUUUUUGAACCCAACGGACUCGCGUCAUAAACAAAUAAACAAAUGAACACUUUAGCAAUUGGCAAAUCAGGCAGGAAUGGGUUUAACAACUGAGCUGGAAAUGUAGCUGAAAAUCUACUCCAUGAUGAAAGAUCGGAAUGUGGUACAAGUUCUUUUCACCGAGUAGGUAACCACACUGACUUCUUUCAGUAAACUGGGGGCUAAAGAGAGAUGCAGUGGGGAGGCAGCGGCCAAGAGCUUCAGAGACACAUUCAGUGGCCCCCUGUCUACUUUGCAUUACCAAUAUGCUGAUAAAUUAUCCCAUGGUUGCUAUGAAAUAUUUGUUCACAACCUAUAAAAGUAAGGCAUUUUCAAGUGCUGGUUUUCUUUAAAUACAUUCUCUUUCCUUUAAGUCUUACAUAAUUCAACUAUCAUUCCAUGUGAGGCUUAAUUUAAAGAAAACCGUAAGUUGAGUUAAUUCACUGUGAAGGGUUAUGGAAGCUAUAUUUAUUCCACAGAGUCAGCAGCAGUGUAAUGGAGUAUCUAUUAUAUGCCUGACCUAGUGCCAGGUUCUGGGAAUACAAACAUGAAUAGCCCAGCCCCUGCCCUUAAGAUGUUCACAGAACUCGGAGGAUUCACAAACUAAGUGAAAGUGAAAGACGUGUUACCACUAUUAAGAUAGAAGAAAAUAUAUGAGGUGCUUAGCAAUCACCUCUAAUGAAGGAGAAAUUAUGUAUGGGGAAGGGAAGAGGAUAGAGUUUGUGAUUCAGUAAAAGAGUCCCAGCUGGGUGCGGUGGUUCACGCCUCUAAUCCCAGCACUUCGGGAGGCCGAGGUGGGCGGAUCACCUGAGGUCAGGAGUUCGAGACCUGUCUGACUAAGAUGUUGAAACCCCAUCUCUACUACAAGUACCAAAAUUAGCUGGGCAUGGUAGCAGGUGCCUGUAAUCCCAGCUACUUGGGAGGCUGAGGCAGGAGAAUCACUUAAACCUGGGAGGUGGAGGUUGCAGUGAGCCGAGAUGGUGCCACUGCACUCCAGUUUGGGUGACACAGUGAGACUCCAUUUCAAAAAAAAAAAAAAAAAAAAGAGAAUCCCCUGUCUGUAUACCUAUAAGGCCUAAAAAGCUGUUAACCAAGGGAGAAGAGGUUGAGAUGAUGGUCUGGACAGAGAGCACAGGAGGAAUUGGGACAGGCUCCACUGUGGUGUGAAACAACCUGAAGGUUAUGGUCACUGUAGAUAUUUGAACCCAGUUGGAAAGCAGACUCUGAGGAGAGAAAUGAGAGGCAGGCCUGGGAGUCAGGGAGUGGAUCGUUCUCUGUCAUGUGGAUCAGGGGACUCCAUCUCAUAGGCCAUAGGAGUCUCUGUAAGACUUUAAACAGCAGAGUGAUCAUGAUCUGAUUUGCACUUUAGAAAAUCACCUUGGCAACCAUGUGGAGGAUGGACUGGAGGUGUUGAGGCUGGGAGCAUAGAGAACAGUUAGGAGGCAAUGGCAGCAGUCCAGGUAGGAGGGAUAGGGCCUGACCUUAGAUGGCAGCAGUGGGGAUGUAAAGAAAAGGAGGGAGAACUAAUAUUAGGAAGGAGAAAAUCUGGGCUGGAGGUAAUGAAAUCUGGAUUCUAGUCCUAGCUUUGGCACAAUCUCUUAAUGUGGCCUUAGACAAGUUCUUCCUUUUCUGGACCCUGUUUCCCAAUGUGGCAGGUGAGAGGGGGACAUUUUGUGGCUAUAUGAGAAUUCACUUUAUAUAUGUACUUGGUUAUUAUUAUUUACUCAUUAGGUAAGCCAGCCAGCCAGUCAGUCAGUAAAGGCAUUCAUUCCUUGAGUCACAGUUUUGGGCAUCUUGAUAUGAAAAAGCAAAAUGGUAGUACAAAAAAAUCCAACCAAGGGAAUGAGGAGACUUGAAGUCCAUAAGCAUUUACUGAUCAUACGUUAAGUACAAAAUGUACAUCAUAAUCUACUACAGAUAUGACGGAAACAGAAAUGACCAAGAUGUGUUCUCUACCUUCUGAGAGGGAAACGAGGCAUCCUAUGAUUAAUUCAAUUAAACAAAUAUUGAGUAAGUUCCUAUGUGCAGAGUAUUGUGUCUGUCAUAGUUAAGGAAACAGAGAAAUAGGACAUGGUCCCUGACAUGAAGGACUUUGUAGUCACAAAUGGAAGAAAAGUGAUACUGCUAUUGGAGAGCUGCAAAGCACUAUGGGAGCCCAAGACAAAAGAGAAUAUGUACCAAGUCAAAAAUCCAUUUUUAAUUUUUGCCAUAGUAAACAGAAAUAUAAUUUCCCUUUCUGUGGUUCAAGGCUGCUAAGAGCACCUUCACGAAAGCAGAUGAAAGAAGAGAUCAUUCAUUUUACUCUAAACAAAGAUUUUUCUAUGGUCCUAUACUAGGUGUUCAAUGUAAGAACAACAAGACAUGCUCUUUGCCCUCAAAGAAAUCAGUCAGUGUUUAUAACAUUUUGGAUUGUGGGGAGUAGAAAGUAGAAGUUUGGUUCUACUUUGUCUACCUAACAAUUCAAAGUGCCUUGAACAGUGCUUAGCAUAUGGUAGGUGCUCAAUAAAUGAUCAACUGAAGUGAACAAUAUUAAAUUUGCUACUUAAAGAAAGAAAAUGAAGUUGACUCUAAAAUAACAAAUACUUGACAUCUAAUUAUCCAAAGAAUACACUUAGGAAAGAUUACUUUUAUGUAAGAAGUCAUGAAUAAUUAAUCAAACCACAGGCCACUGGCUUGUUGUAAUACUAAUUCAAACAAGGUUUCUAAGCAGCAGGUCUCCACUCCCGAAGUCUUAGGAAGCAGAUGGUAACUAAUUGCUUUAAGGGGCACUUGGUUGACCACACUUGGUUCUUUAAGCCAGAGUAAGUUCAAUUUUUGGAACUCUCCUUAAGACAAAUCAACCUCCAACUCCUUAUAUAUAACAACCUGAUCUGUUUCUAAACAUGUAAUCUAGAAAGACCAAACUUGGUAAUGGUGUUGCUUAGAAAGAAAAAAUAAUGUCUUCAGGGCAUGGCAGGGGGAUUCUACUAGCAGCCUGGCCAAGAAAAGUUGCUGACUUGGCAUAUAAGAUAUGUAAAAAGCUUUUAAAAAAUUAAAGGUGCUAACAAUGCAGGUGGGAUUUAAAAAGAACAUGCACCACAUUGUGAUAUUUUUUCAAGAACAGAGAGGCCCAGAAUAUUGAGAUAUGAGCUGGUAAGAAUUAUGACAUUUACUUUAAAAUCUUUGACCAGUAAGAAGUGAUUCUAAAACACUUGCAAUAGGUUUGGCUCAUGGUCUCUGCACCUUGUUAUAGGCCAACUUGAUAAAAUACAGUGAUUUCACAUAGGAGCUUUUGAUUACAGACUGGCUUGAUUGUUAUCAAGUCUCUGCCAUUCACUAGCUGCUACAAACUUGGAUAAGUCAUUGAGUCUCACUUAAGCAUCAAUGCCACCUGUAAAUGAAGACUAUGAUGCCUAAUGUCAUGGGGUUGUGAUGGGGAGUACAUGAGAUAAUAGAGGUAAACAGCUUAGUACAGUGCCUGGCAUAUAACAAGUAUGGUGACUAUUACUAUUGUAAUUACGUUUGCUGAGAGGGAAAUGUUCUUUCCAAAAUUGGCUAAAAACCCUGUUUCAAACAUUUCUGAGACUGAAAUGAAAUAUAUAGAUGAUAGGUUUGCAGAAAUGGCAGUGGGUGUUUCAUUUUCAUAUAAUUAUAAUGUGCAGAAGAACAUGGCAGCAUCUUAUGCCAAUCAUGAAUCUUUUCUCAUAGUAAAAUUAUUUUAUGAGUGAACCUGAACUGUAUGUACAAUGUCUUACUAAAUAUGUACUUCCAUGUGACAUUUGGUAUCAUGGGUUUCUUGUGAAUUCUAUUUGAUGAUAAAAUAUAGAGAAGCCUAGCCUGGAAGGACCUCAAUGUAAAUAUCAUCUCUGUCACUUAAGGACGGUAAGCUCUGUCA